GAAGGGAAUGUUGGGACUAGGUCCUUCCUCUCUCUCUGACUCCCUGCCGCCAUUCCAACACAGGGCCCCAGACAAACAGGCCAACCAGCCGUGGACUGAAACUUCCAAACUGUGAGCCAAAAUAAGCCUUUCCUCUUUAUAAGGGCAAAGGAGGGGCUUGUCCAGAGGAGAGGUGACAUUCCAGCCCGCCUGCCUGUCACAGAGCAGCCAGCAAUGACUCAGGACCCUGUGGCAGCACGGCCCCACUGAGUCCUCUCAUAAGGCCCAGACCAAACCACAAGGCCAGAAUAUUCACACAGGAUGAUGGUAGCAACUACAAGACUAACCCAGAAAUUCCUAGGACAUGUUGCCCAUGACCACCCAGUGGUCACAAGAAGUAUCUUUUAGGCUGUUUCCACAGGCCAAUGGAAACUGCUGGACUUCAGCUAUUCUUUCUGUUCAAUGAGCAAUUUGGUCACUUGUCUUCAAAGCGGACUCCCUUCGGCUGAAGCCCCAUUUAGCAAAACUCCCCACCACCAUAAAGCUUCACCUGUGCAAAAUAUCGUGUGCUCCUGGUAUUUGGCAUCAUCUCAUUUCCAUUGUUCUUGGACCAAAAGAUCCUGUCUGGUAUCACAACCACAAAUGGCAUACAGAACCAGAAGCUUUCUCAUACUCCACCUCUGAGCCUGCUCUAGGGGAGUCAGAAACUGGGAGGCAGGCAGGGGGCAGAGGAGUAGGACAAUGUAGGGGGAAAGAGGUGAGGGUCAUUGACACUCAUCUAUGCACACAUGUUCACACACUUGCACAUACAUAUACACACUCUUCCCACUUACACCCACACUCACACUCCCAGCCCUCCUUCCCAGCAGGGCUGAGCUGUAGGUUGGGAGGAGGCUCAUUUUUGUUAGAUGUUUUGGUCUUUUUAUUUGCACUGGUCAUUGAAUUAUAGAUUGGAAACAGAUUUUGUGACUUCAAGUGUUUCUUAGACUUUCUGUUACCUACUGGCAUGCAGAGGAGUAUUGAGGCCAUCACCUUUAGCAAUGAGCCCAAGGUCUCAGGGCUACUAAAAGGAGAGCUGGGAUGCAGGCCCAGAUAGGAAGAGCCUCUGCAUUGCAGCUGCCUGGGUUUGCCCCCAGAGUCACAAAGCCUCACAGAGUGUAGACCGGUCUGGGGUAGAGUGCCCAGCUGACACAGCAGGGCUGCAGAAGCUGGAAUCAGUGCUUUUCUGGGGGAGACUUCCCACAUUGCUCUCAUUCCUAUUGCCCUGCUACCUGCAGGAAAUCAG